rnacentral:rRNA from 1 species
GAUGAACGCUGGCGGCGUGCCUAAUACAUGCAAGUCGAGCGAACAGAUGAGGAGCUUGCUCCUCUGACGUUAGCGGCGGACGGGUGAGUAACACGUGGAUAACCUACCUAUAAGACUGGGAUAACUUCGGGAAACCGGAGCUAAUACCGGAUAAUAUAUUGAACCGCAUGGUUCAAUAGUGAAAGACGGUUUUGCUGUCACUUAUAGAUGGAUCCGCGCCGCAUUAGCUAGUUGGUAAGGUAACGGCUUACCAAGGCGACGAUGCGUAGCCGACCUGAGAGGGUGAUCGGCCACACUGGAACUGAGACACGGUCCAGACUCCUACGGGAGGCAGCAGUAGGGAAUCUUACGCAAUGGGCGAAAGCCUGACGGAGCAACGCCGCGUGAGUGAUGAAGGUCUUCGGAUCGUAAAACUCUGUUAUUAGGGAAGAACAAAUGUGUAAGUAACUAUGCACGUCUUGACGGUACCUAAUCAGAAAGCCACGGCUAACUACGUG